AUCGAAUAAAGGUCAAAACAUGUAAAAACUAGAACGAUACAGAGGUUAUUAGCAUGGACCUUGCAGAAGGAUGACACACAUGAAUCGAGAAAUAGUCUAAAGUUUC